GGAGGCCGAACGUAAACCGGGGCUUGCCCCGGGGCAAAGCCGCGAACGGGCCUAUUUACACGUGGGUAACCUACCUCGAUGACCGGGACAACCCGAGGAAACUCGGGCUAAUACCGGAUGAGCUCCUUCACCUCAAGGUGAAAGAGGAAAGAUAGCUUCGGCCUUCGCAACAAGACGGGCCCGCGGCCCAUUAGCUUGUUGGUGGGGUAACGGCCUACCAAGGCUGCGAUGGGUAGCUGGUCUGAGAGGACGAUCAGCCACACUGGGACUGAGACACGGCCCAGACUCCUACGGGAGGCAGCAGUGGGGAAUCUUGCACAAUGCGCGAAAACGUGAUGCAGCAACGCCGCGUGGGGGAAGAAGGCCUUCGGGUUGUAAACCCCUUUCAGUUGGGACGAAGCUUCGUCGGUGAAUAGCCGGCCGGAGUGACGGUACCUUCAGAAGAAGCCCCGGCUAACUACGUGCCAGCAGCCGCGGUAA
rnacentral:rRNA from 1 species